GACGAACGCUGGCGGCGUGCUUAACACAUGCAAGUCGAACGGAAAGGCCCUGCUUUUGUGGGGUGCUCGAGUGGCGAACGGGUGAGUAACACGCGAGUAACCUGCCCUUGACUUUGGGAUAACUUCAGGAAACUGCGGCUAAUACCGGAUAGGAGCUCCUGCUGCAUGGUGGGGGUUGGAAAGUUUCGGCGGUUGGGGAUGGACUCGCGGGUUAUCAGCUUGUUGGUGGGGUAGUGGCUUACCAAGGCUUUGACGGGUAGCCGGCCUGAGAGGGUGACCAGCCACAUUAGGACUAAGAUACGGCGCAGAAGGCUACGGGAGGCAGCAGUGGGGAAUAUUGCACAGUGGGCGGGAGCCUGAUGCAGAAACGCCGGGUGCGGAAUGACGGCCUUCGGGGUAUGAACCGCUUUCGCCUGUGACGAAGCGUGAGUGACGGUAAUGGGUAAAGAAGCACCGGCUAACUACGUG
rnacentral:rRNA from 1 species